rnacentral:sRNA from 1 species
ACCUUGAGAUGUGAAGGCCCCUCCUGGCGGGAUGGGUAGCCCAGCCUGCUUUCUCUGUGAGUGGCUGGGAAGAACUAUCAAGUAGAGGUGUGAGUGAGCUCUAAGAAGCUCCUGUUUUUGUUGAACUCAGUAGCUAAUGGUAGCAGCUAGGCAAGGGAAGGUUGUGGGCGAGAUGACGCUUGGAGGAUCAGGUAAGAGGCACAGGAUUCUGCUAGGAAGGCCCUGGGCACAGGCUCAGCAUGAGGAGGUGGUUGGCCAGAGUCUGCUGUGUAUGGCCUGAGUCUGGGCACUUAGAGGGCAAAGGACACUAGAGGAACACAUGAGCUGAAGAACUGUGGCAUCACUGAGAAUCUCCCUGGCAGGGGCUGGCAGUGUGAGCAUUCCCCCCUGGUGGCAUGUGGGUCUACUGCCUGGCAUGUGGGUGCCUGAGGUAUCUCCAUGUGCCCAGCAGGAGUGGGUAAUAGGCUGUGAUUUGAGACUUCAGGGCCUUGGAUAAGGGUCUCCCAUGAUGGUUCUAACCGUGUCGGACUUUGAGUCUUCAACCUGAUUUGCUCGGCUGUAGGAAGAACAGUCUUUCACAGAGAGCACAGCUGGAGGGUGCUCCUGUCAGGGUGACAAGUCACCAACCUCACUUAGCUGGCUGAAGACCAGAAGCAGGGCUUGUGGAGUCCGUAAUGUGAUAGUGCUGGCGUGCUUGUGUCUUGGGUUGAAUGUUGGCCUGUUCUCUUGAGCUCUGCCUCUCCCUUCUCCCUUAGGAGGAAAGCUUUAUGAGCCUGUCAGAUGAAGGGCUCCAGAUCUUCCAACCUUGGUGCUGUUGGUGUGAGUCAGAUGACAGAGGGGUCUUCAAGUUGUUCCUCAAAUUUGCUGACCAUUGGGAACUUGAGACUUGACCACACAGACUCCAACUUUGGGAUCUUAUUGACAGGAAAUAAAGGCUUUAAAGGAAACUGUUGUAUGAUUGGCUUCUGAGGAGGAGGUUUAAAUUUAUAAAGGUCUAGGUCUGGAGCUGUACAGAUUGCUGAGGAGGACAGGCCCUUCCAGGGCUAACAUGAGGUUUGGUGACUGAAUAUACCCACACAGACACACAUGAAAGAGGUUCUGGGUUACAAAACAACCCAGCAAUGAGCUGAGUUCUCAGUCUCUAAGCAAGCUUAUGGUCUCUCACAAGGCAGAUGUGUUUGUUGCUCAUGGGCUACAUAUCAUAGACUUUCAGGAAAUCAGGAGUAAGAGAGGGUUGGGGGAGGAAGGGAGGGAUCGUGGGAGGGAGGGAGGGAGGGAGGGGAGGCAGGUUUGUCAGGCUCCCUGAGGUGGCUUAAAGCCACGUUUCUUAGCCUGCCCUGCCUGUCACUGCUCCUCCCAAUCUGUGGGUUUGCCUGGGCCAUAGGCAGCCCCAGAGGUUGCAGCAGGAAGCACUAGAAGGUAUGUCCACUGUCCUUAACUUGAGGCACUUGUUGCUUUCCAUGUGAUAUCCACCAGAUGUCAUGGCUCUGUGGGAAGAAGUCACAAAUGCUGGGGGAAGGAAAAUAACCCCAAUGGCUAAAGCAAAGGAAGAGCUGGGACUGGUCUAGCACUGCAUCCCAUGGCACGGUCCUGAGGGAGUCUUCCAGGCACCUCCAAUUCUCCAGGCGGUGAGUGGAAGCCCUGUUGAGGUGCUCUGUCCCUUGGCCACAUACAAGGUGAUACCAGAGCCUAGCAAUCAAGCCUUAGCCAGAGCAGGAUCCCAGCUGUCUCUCACAGACUACAUUGGAUCUCUGAGAGAGCAAGAUCAAGUGUUCUAGAAGCAUUUACGAAGCCAGCAGCAAGAUUCCUGGGUGCUCAUGGCAUCUGAGAUAGCUGGAAAUUUAUCUCUCCCCAGCCACCAUGUUUUCCCCUUGGUGUCUCAGAGCCAGUAGCCCACUCCCUCUGCAGGACAGUGCCACGACACCCAUCUCGGGGUGAGGAAGCACUGGCCGUUCC